AGAGUUUGAUCAUGGCUCAGAUUGAACGCUGGCGGCAUGCCUUACACAUGCAAGUCGAACGGUAACGGGCCUUCGGGUGCCGACGAGUGGCGAACGGGUGAGUAAUGCAUCGGAACGUACCUUUCAGUGGGGGAUAACGUAGCGAAAGUUACGCUAAUACCGCAUAUUCUGUGAGCAGGAAAGCAGGGGAUCGCAAGACCUUGCGCUGAUUGAGCGGCCGAUGUCAGAUUAGCUAGUUGGUGAGGUAAAGGCUCACCAAGGCGACGAUCUGUAGCGGGUCUGAGAGGAUGAUCCGCCACACUGGAACUGAGACACGGUCCAGACUCCUACGGGAGGCAGCAGUGGGGAAUUUUGGACAAUGGGCGAAAGCCUGAUCCAGCCAUUCCGCGUGCAGGAUGAAGGCCCUCGGGUUGUAAACUGCUUUUGUACGGAACGAAACGGUCCUGGUUAAUACCUGGGGCUAAUGACGGUACCGUAAGAAUAAGCACCGGCUAACUACGUG
rnacentral:rRNA from 1 species